rnacentral:rRNA from 1 species
AUUGAACGCUGGCGGCAGGCCUAACACAUGCAAGUCGAGCGGAGCGGCGGACGGGUGAGUAAUUCCUAGGAAUCUGCCUGGUCGAUGGGGAUAACGUCCGGAUACGGGCGCUAAUUACUCAUACUAUCAGUUGCGCUUAGGUCGGAUUGGCUAGUUGGUGGGGUAAAGGCCUACCAAGGCGACGCUCCGUCACUGGCCUGAGAGGAUGAUCAGUCACACUGGAACUGAGACACGGUCCAGACUCCUACGGGAGGCAGCAGUGGGGAAUAUUGGACAAUGGGCGAAAGCCUGAUCCAGCCAUGCCGCGUGUGUGAAGAAGGUCUUCGGAUUGUAAAGCACUUUAAGUUGGGAGGCGUUACCAACAGAAUAAGCACCGGCUAACUUCGUGCCAGCAGCCGCGGUAAUUC